rnacentral:rRNA from 1 species
AUAUUGCACAAUGGGCGAAAGCCUGAUGAAGCUACGCCGUGUGUGUGAUGAAGGAAAUCGGGUCGAAAAACUCAUUGAUCAGGGAUGAUAAUGACAGUACAUGAAAAACAAGCCACGGCUCACUACGUGCCAGCAUCCGAGGUAAUACGUAGGUGGCGAGCGUUGUCCGGAAUUACUGGGCGUAAAGGAUGCGUAGGUGGAUACUUAAGUGGGAUGUGAAAUCCCCGGGCUCAACCCGGGAACUGCAUUCCAAACUGGGUAUCUAGAGUGCAGGAGAGGAAAGCGGAAUUCCUAGUGUAGCGGUGAAAUGCGUAGAUAUUAGGAGGAACACCAGUGGCGAAGGCGGCUUUCUGGACUGUAACUGACACUGAGGCAUGAAAGCGUGGGUAGCAAACAGG